GUGCAGCAGGCGCGAAUACUUUACAAUGUGCGAAAGCACGAUAAGGGAACUCUGAGUGCCUCCUAAGGAGGCUGUUCAGGUGUCUAAAAAGCACCUGGAGUAAGGGCUGGGUAAGACCGGUGCCAGCCGCCGCGGUAACACCGGCAGCCCAGGUGGUAGCCACUUUUAUUGGGUCUAAAGCGUCCGUAGCCGGUUGAGUAAGUUCCUUGGGAAAUUUGGCUGCUCAACAGUCAAGCUUCCAGGGAACACUGCUCGACUUGGGGACUGGGAGAGGUCAGAGGUACUCCAGGGGUAGGGUGAAAAUCCAUUAAUCCCUGGGGGACCACCGGUAGCGAAGGCGUCUGACCAGACCAGGUCCGACGGUGAGGGACGAAGGCUAGGGUCGCGAACCGGAUUA
rnacentral:rRNA from 1 species